AUCCAGAAACUCACUGUCUUCCUUUUCAACCUGAAAAAAAAUCAGAGCCUGCAGAAGUGAAGCAUUCGUCUUAAAGUAUGCUUUAUAUUUUUUGCCAAUGUUUUGAGGAUAUCUUGUGAAGCCUUUUGAAAACACUCUGGGAGAAUGUUGCCAACAGACUUAGAAACCUAGGAGGAAAAAAAUAAUCAUCCAAAAUACUUUCUGUUCAUGAAGAUAUGUAACUUAGCGGUCCCUUGUGAUCUGGUGAAGGUUGGACGUCUGUGAUGGUAUUUGGGGUGUAACCCAAGUGGCCUUUUUAGCAGACGAUUAGACUGAACACAAAAGCAAAGUUGUCAGCAGUAAACGCCCCUCUAAAUCAGUUCUAGGAUGAACUAAAAACAAUUAAAAAUAUGCUAGGGAGGGAGUUUUUUAAAUUCUGUUUAUCCUGAUGUAUUUGUCCCUCAACUGAAAAUAUUUCCACUUUCUGAACACAGUUUUCAAAGUAGAAAUACAAGCAACACAGUCAUGCUCCAUUCGUCUUGUAGUUUAGAUUCACAAAGCAUAGCUGGGACUUUACUCACUCCUACCCACCGUGCUGCAAUGGCCUCCAUGUUACAGAGGACAAGUAGAGACACAAGGAGGCUUCCCAGGCCACCUGGAGUCGCAGUCCCUACGUGGGAAUGGCUGCACAGACCGCUGGGCCUCCUGGCUCCCAGGCCAGUGCUGUUUAGUCUAUCUAGCUUAGGAUUUCAAAACAUUUACUUCAGCUUAACUCACUUUGCUCCCAUUAUGGUCCAUUUGUGUGUGUCAGUCUUUAUCUCUGGACCUGAGUCAAGCUUCACCCCUUCUCCCACCUCCUCCUGUUUCAGAGGGGGAAAAAAAAAAUCAAAGCCUGACUAUGGAACACAUGUGCUUCUCAUCUGGGCUAUUUGGAGGGAUCGGGGAAAUCAGAAGUGUCGUUGGCUCUUCUGUGGGGAUGUUUCAACAUGCCCUUACACCUGGGUCCCACUUGCGCUGCUACUGUCCCAGUCUGAGCCUACUGCCUUCCAAGUCAACCUUCCAUCUUGUGCCUUUAUUCCCACUUGCAUCUCUUUGGCUUCUCUGUAUUUUAGAGGUUUGCUUUACCGGUCCAUGAAAAAUCGACUUUGUCUCUAUUCAGGGUAGAUGUGGAGGGGUGCAGCAAGAGGGUAGCAGAUCCAUUUGCGCUAAGACCUGGACUCACCCGCCGCCUCUCCAACUGGACAGAGUGGGCAGCCGUGACUCAUGGCCAUGAACUCUGGGAAGAUGGCAGCCACCAGUGACAGGAGCCUCAUGGAGGAAAGGAAGAAGGUGCUAGACUCAAAGCCAGAAGAACUGAGUUCCAGCACCUGCUCUGGCCCUUACCAACUCUGUCGGCCGGGGCAGUUGGUCCACCUGUCUAAGGGUGAUGAUACUCCGCUAACACAGUGGGUUUUUUGAGAGAGUCUACUGAAAUCAUUGUGUAUAUGAAGCACUUUUAAAACUGUAAAGUGCCAUCCAAAUGAAAGACGGUAGUACCUCCCUCAGCCUCUGGUAACGUGUAUGUCUACUAAGUGUUAGGAGUGCAAGGACAUGCCCACCUUCCAGCUAAUUGGUGCGGAAAGGCCCUGGGCUUCCCCGCAUAACAAGCUGCAACUGCAUGACCCCAUACCGCCUUUAUUUCUUCUAAUUGCAGCUUUCUGCUUACGCUUCUCUUUACUUACCUGUCGCUGAUCACUGACCACCUUUUUGAAUGAAGAAUGUUCCAGAGUCUUGGCUGGCCCUAGAUGCCACCUUUCAUGUCACCUUGCUCUGCUGCCCCCCCACCCUCAUCCUG
rnacentral:lncRNA from 1 species